GUAGACAUUGUGGUUGUGCUCAAGAGACACACUGAGCAGGAAAAAGGCUGCAGACAGACAUUUAAAUAGAGAUGGAUUAGUGUUAUUGUCCUACAGAAUAAUGUAGCAUCAUGCAAACCAAAGUUCCACUAGUGCACAAUCUGCCAAGUCUGACCAUUCUGCUGCUGCUGUGAUUAGGUCAGUGCCACACGGAUGUGGUCUCCACAGCCACUCUGGACUACCCCCCAAAGUCCCUACAUGAAGAGGGUUCUCCUCCCUCACUGGAAGCGUUUUAUUAAAUGUCACUCAGAAGUGCAUUCUAUGAUGUCAGGUUCAGUCAAACACCCUCCAUUUUUUUAUUUUAAGGAAAUUUUUUCUUUAAGUUAUUGGCCACCAGACUCUUACGACAUCUGUGCAGAUGUGAUAAAGUGCCUUAACACAUUUGGAGCUGUAUUAGUUCAGUUGAAUAAAUGAUUUUUUUAUAGAACUAAAUGUUUGUUUUGUUAAACUUGCAGACGUAUUACUAUAUUUGAGCUGACAUAUGGCCCCAUCUCCCCAUCUAUUUCAUAAUUCCAUUUAAAAAAUGUAACUUGUAUAUUAUAUUCAUUCAUUACACACAGACUGAUAUAUUUUAAAUCUUUCUUUAAUUUUGAUGAUUAUAACUGACUAAUGAAAAACCCAAAUUGAGUAUCUCAGAAAAUGAGAAUAUUGUGAAAAGGCUCAAUAUUGAAGACACCUGGUGCCACAGUCUAAUCAGCUAUUUAAUUCAAAAUACCUGCAAAGGCUUUUAAAUUGUCUCUCAGUCUAGUUCUGUAGGCUAUACAAUCUUGCUACACAACUUGACAGUUGUCCAAAAGACGGCCACUAACACCUUGCACAGGGAGGCAAGACACAAAAGGUCAUUGCAAAAGAGUCUGGCUGUCACAGAGCUCUGUGUCCAAGCAAAUUAAUAGAAAGGUGGACGGAAGGAAAAGAUAUGGUGGAAAAAGUGGACAAGCACUAGGCAUAACCGCACCCUGGAGAAGAUUGUAAAACAAAACCCAUUUAAAAAUGUUUGUGAGAUUCACAAAGAGUGGACUGCAGCUGGAGUCAGUGUUCAAGAAGCACUACGCACAGAGAAAAUGCAAGACAUAGGUCUCAGCUGUCGCAUUCCUUGUGUCAAGCUACUCUUGAACAACAGACAGCAUCAGACGCGUCUUGCCUGGGCUAAAGACAAAAAGGACUGGACUGCUACUGAGUGCUCCAAAAUUAUGUUCUCUGAUGAAAGGAAAUUUUGCAUUUCCUAUAGAAAUCGGGGUCCCAGAGUCUGGGGAAAGAGACACCCAGAAUCCACGUUGGAGUCCACUGUAAAGUUUAAACAUUCAGUGAUGGUUUGGGGUGCCAUGCCAUCUGCUGGUUUUGGUCCACUGUGUUUUCCAAGGUUCCAGGUCAAUGCAGCCGUAUAACAGGAAGUUUUAGAGCACUGCAUGCUAUCUGAUGCUGACUAACUUUAAGGAGAUGCAGAUUUCAUUUUCCAAUAGAACUUGGCACCUACACACAGGGCCAAAGCUACCAGUACCUGUUUUAAGGACCAUGAUAUCCCUGUUCUUAAUUGGCCAGCAAACUCGCCUGACCUUAACCCCAUAGGAAAACUAUGGGGUAUUGUAAAGAGGAAGAUGUGAUAGAGCUAACAAUGCAGUGCAGAAGAGCUGAAGGCCACUAUCACAGCAACCUCUCAUAACUCUCUCAUAACACCUGAGCAGUGGCACAGACUGAUGGACUCCAUGCCAUGCUGCAUUGCUGCAAUAAUUCAGGCAAAAAGAGCCUCAGCCAAGUAUUCAGUGCUGUACAUGCUCAUACUUUUCAUGUUCAUACUUUUUAGUCAGCCAAGAUUUCCAAAAAUCCUUUCUUUGAAUUGGUAUUAACUAAUAUUCUAAUUUUCUAAGAUACUGAAUUUGGGGGUUUCAUUAGUUGUCAGUUAUAAUGAUCACAAGUAAAAGAAAUAAACGUUUGAAAUAGAUCAGAGAAUGAGCCUUCUUCCCAACUACAGCUCAUGUCAACAGAUAACGUCACGCACAUAACGGCUGCACUGCUGUAGUGGGAGAGCUGGUAACAUAUCUUCGCUCUUUAUCACAGUGAAUGCAGGAAGCAUUGCUGGAAGCAAUUGUUUAGUUGUUGUUUAGUAACUGUUUAGUUUUUCUUGUCGGCCAUCUUUCUUUAUUAUUUUUCUUCUGUACGUUUUUCGGCGCGUAACUAGUCCUGCAUACUUUAAGCUACAGAAACCAUUCAAAUAUCAAAAUAUUCAGCUUUUUGAGGAGACGACUACUAUUAUUUUUCUCACUCAUAUCUAAGCAUUUCCAGAAGAAAAUGCACAGUAAAUGCUUCCAUGCUGAAUGUAUAGCUGAAGAAAUGCUGUAAGUAGCUGAUGAAUUGAAUGUAGAGAUGUAUAUAUCCAAAGAGGUGUUUUAAACUUGGUGAAUGUGGAAGCAUAAAUGAAUGUAUCUAAAGAGAAUUACGAGUGGUUUAAAGCUCCCUGAUCAUACAGCUUUUCACUCUAAAGAAUAUUGGACUUUAAUGUCUCAGUAAGGUCUCUGUAAAUUUUCAUUCCAUAAAACUCUUUAGAUCGUCCACACUGCCCCUGUCAAUAUGUUGUUUUCACUCCCCAUCAGCAAACGCUGUGUUUUCUGGGCGUGUCGCAAGCGAAGCUGCUCGCCACACCUCUGUGCGGAAGCGCAUACCUUUUUUGUUGUUGUUGUUUUUUGGCUCCAUGGAUACGAGCCACCGCACGGUUAGGAUACUAUAGGUGGCAGUAGUGCGACGUUGAGAAUACAAUCCAUCGCAAUCCUCCACAGAAGAAGAAGACCCGCUACAGGACUGCACAACAUUAGCCAGCUGGUUCAUAGCGUAGUAGAACCAUACGUCUACGAUCCCGAAUCUGACCCUGAAGCUGAAGAGGAGGCUGUUGAAGUCGCCACAUUUCGGCUGAUGCAAGAUGUGUCUCAUUGUUGUUACAGGUAUCUAAUCUACAGAGGCUAGUGAGCUGGUGCUGAGGAUUCCUAGGGUGAAGAAUCUGAGUUGCCAUCUCUUCAUGCUUGGGUUGUAGAUGAAGGCAGAGUUUCCUGAUGGAUAAAACACUAAAACACUCAUUGUAUGAUGGAUGUAAACCACCUGUGGAAUAACUCCUUUACCAUUUGAGUAAAAAUGUGUUUUUUGUGAGUGCAAUACUCAAAGAAUUUUUUUAUUUUUUAUUUAUAUAUAAUUUAUAUGCUUUUUAUUUAUGGCCGCUUCAACUUUAUAGCUUACCAUAUUAGAAAGAGAAAAAACAUGUAAUUUCAAUACUAUGAUUUCCUGAAUAAAAGUGUUUUCC